rnacentral:rRNA from 1 species
CAAUAGCGUAUAUUUAAGUUGUUGCAGUUAAAAAGCUCGUAGUUGGAUUUCUGCUGAUCGCUGUCGGUCUGCCGUCAGGUGUGUACUGGCAGUGUUUGGCAUCUAUUCGAGAUCGGGUGUCCACUUGAUUGUGUGCACUCGAUGUCGGAGCUAAUACUUUGAGAAAAUUAGAGUGUUCCACGCAGGCGCGUGCCUUGAAUACUGCAGCAUGGGAUAUUGGAAGGCCGAUUGAGCUUUCUUGUUGGUUCUCGGUUUGAUCGGAAUGAUUAAUAGGGAUAGUUGGGGGCAUUCGUAUUCAACUGUCAGAGGUGAAAUUCUUGGAUUUGUUGAAGACGGACUACUGCGAAAGCAUCUGCCAUGGAUGUUCUCAUUGA